rnacentral:tRNA from 1 species
UGCCCUGUAGCUCAGUGGGUAGGGCGCUAGCCACAUAGACCCAGGCUGGUGGGUUCGAACCCUGCCAGGCCAG